rnacentral:rRNA from 1 species
UACGUAGGGCGCAAGCGUUGUCCGGAAUUAUUGGGCGUAAAGAGCUCGUAGGCGGCUUGUCACGUCGGGUGUGAAAGCCCGGGGCUUAACCCCGGGUCUGCAUUCGAUACGGGCAGGCUAGAGUGUGGUAGGGGAGAUCGGAAUUCCUGGUGUAGCGGUGAAAUGCGCAGAUAUCAGGAGGAACACCGGUGGCGAAGGCGGAUCUCUGGGCCGUAACUGACGCUGAGGAGCGAAAGCGUGGGGAGCGAACAGG